CCCGCCAGCUGGCAGGGGGCCCGCCCGUCAGAGGCAGAGGCGACCGAGCCGGCCCACCAGUCGGGUUAAGUGGAAACGGCUUCGGGCCGAUCCACUUGCCCCGCUGGGUGGCGCAUUCCUGUAGUGCGCCUUCGGCGUCACCUCCUCCCUCUGCAGCUGAGCCACUGGGCCGAGCCCAGUAGUCGCUGUUUAGCUGGGCUUUCCCCAGUGCGCUUUAUAAGGUUGACUCCCUUUCUUCCUUUUUCUUUUCAUAAAUAUUGUAAAAUUCCUAAAUAAUCCAAAUGGACUCCAAAUUUGAUGAUUCUAAUUUCUAUAAGUUCAUAAAUUCAUGAUCUAUCACAUGGUGCAAUUUGCACAUUUUUCCAUAAAGAUUUCCUUCACAAAAAUUUAUGAAAUCUUGUUUUUUCAUUUCUGUGAUGAACUUUAGAAAAUCACAGAGAGCCCAUUUUUGAUCCAAAUUCCAUGAUUCAAAUUCCUAGGCACUUCUAAGAUCCUAACCUAGUUUAUGGGCAUUUUUUUAUGCUUCCACUACGUCAUAAAAUAUUGGUCCAUUUAUCCAUGUAUAGCCAACUUUGCAAAUUCAUAGGAAAUUCAUUAUAACUCCAAAUCCAGUGAAACCAACUCCUAAAUUCUUCUAAAAUCAUUCCUUGAUAAAUGGGUGCCUUUUCUCAUUUUUUUAAAUGGUUUUUCCUGUACACUUCUUGCAAAUCCACAAAUCCCUUGAUUCCAUCAUAUUGAAAUGUUCAGAGAUAUCCAUUGAUGAAAUCCCAAUGAAACCACUUUGGUCAUUCCUCAUAUGACCAAAGGUAUCCUCCAAAAGUCCAACUCACAUUUUUAGAGCACUUUUAUGUUUGCCUUGUUGUGUUGCUUAUUGUGUUUGUUUCCGACGUUAGUUGACGAAGUAGACGGAAUACUUGGAGCUGGGCCAGAGAUAUUUGAAGAAUCUGAAGGAUAAGGCAAGCAGCCCUUUGACCAUGUCUAUGAAACCCUUUUUAUGCAUGUCAUAUAACACUUUUAUUACUUGCAUCGGAGUCAUGAUGAUGAGGUGACCACUUGGGGUGGUUUGCCUCCGUUACUUCCUCGUUGAUACUUGCAUUGUGCAUGACCCUACCUUCUUAUGAGGGUUAUGGCGGUGGGAGUAGAUAGGAUGCUAAAGUAGAUGCUACGCAAAAAGGGACGGGAAUAUGCUAGGUGAUGGAGACAAAGUAUUUUCAAAAGACUUUUCGAAAACCCCGUCGGGUGCAACUUAUGCCCGAGGGAGAUAAUGAGAUGGGUAACCACUUGAUGACGAAGUGGUGUACCGAGGCAAGUGUGUGUGUUGUUUUCGAAAACGGAUUAGAUUUAAGAUUUGUCGACUGUCCCAACCUUACAUGUGCAACCACUCUACCCUUAUAUGGGAAAGGGCAUUAUUGAUUACCUAGGCCGAUACUAGCUUGGAGCCUGCAUUACUAGUGACGGGAGAGUCGUUGUUGCGCUCUCUCGGGACGGGGUCGUGCCAGGUAGGGCGGCCAUGACUGUUUUCACAGGGCACCGGACACACCGUUGGUACCCCGUGCUUGUGGUAUGUGAUGAAUAUGGGAGCGAGGCUCCACAAUUUUAAGAUGUGAAAUGUUGGGCACGGGGGUUACUACCAAUCGUGUGGACUCUAUGUUAGUGUCGUCUAGGGAAAGAUAGUGAUCGGGUGCUUACCCCGGGUACUUGAGGUACCACAGGUCGUGGAUGACACAGAAGUUCCCCGGAUCUUGUGGGUAAAGUGUGCAACCUCUGCAGAGUGUAAAACUAUUCGAAUAGUCGUGUCCACGGUUAAGGACAGUUGGGCGGUGCUGCUUAAACUACGUCCAGAGUUUACAAACCGUGUGUGUGUGUUGAUAAAACUAUUUGGGUUAAGUCAGAUGGCUUGACACGAUGAUCAAGUUGGAUUGGUGUCCAACUCCGCUUUCUUUGAUAUCUGUAACUUGUUCAUAUGGAUAUCUGUACUCUCAUGAUACAUACUUUACAUGUGGAUAGAUCAUGCCAUUGCACUCAAAACUAGCUUUCUGCAAACUACCUACUUAGUGCUAUAUCAUUUCAUUAUUGUGCCCUAUUCCAAUCAUGGGUUGCUUGCGAGUACAUUCAAAGUACUCAUUGGCUUGCCACUGGUUAUUUAAUUGGCCAGGCAUGGAAGAACAAGAGUUCGAAGAAGAGUUCUUUGGAGAUGAACAUGCGAACUAGGACGUUUCCCAGUCAGAAUGCCUGUAGGGUUAAGGCAGAUGGCAUGGGUUCUACUUAUCGACGAAGAUUUCCGCUGCUUAAGUUUAUUUGGUAUUCAACCCUUGUGGCUUUAUCUAUGUAAGACUUGACCAUAAUGGUCAUAAUUAGUGUAAGACGGUAUGUAUGGAUGUAAGACUCUUGUUAUUCAGCUUCUGUGUGUUCAG
rnacentral:lncRNA from 1 species